CACUAACUGAACUACACGAUGUUCACAUUGAAGAAGUCCCUGUUCCUGGUUUUCUUUCUGGGGAUGGUCUCCUUAUCUCUCUGCAGGCCUGAGAGUAACAUCG